UAACGAGCGCAACCCCUGCAUUCAGUUGCCAUCGGGUAAUGCCGGGCACUCUGGAAGGACUGCCAUCGACAAGAUGGAGGAAGGUGGGGAUGACGUCAAGUCAUCAUGGCCCUUAUGUCCAGGGCGACACACGUGCUACAAUGGCCGGCACAACGGGAAGCGAGUUCGCGAGGACGAGCGGAUCCCUCAAAGCCGGUCGCAGUUCGGAUUGAAGUCUGCAACUCGACUUCAUGAAGCUGGAAUCGCUAGUAAUCGUGGAUCAGCCAAGCCGCGGUGAAUACGUUCCCGGGCCUU
rnacentral:rRNA from 1 species